UACGUAGGGUGCAAGCGUUAAUCGGAAUUACUGGGCGUAAAGCGUGCGCAGGCGGUUUUGUAAGUCAGAUGUGAAAUCCCCCGGGCUUAACCUGGGAACUGCGUUUGAAACUACAAGGCUUGAAUCUGGCAGAGGGGGGUAGAAUUCCACGUGUAGCAGUGAAAUGCGUAGAGAUGUGGAGGAACACCGAUGGCGAAGGCAGCCCCCUGGGUCAAGAUUGACGCUCAUGCACGAAAGCGUGGGGAGCAAACAGG
rnacentral:rRNA from 1 species